UAUUUCUUCCUUGCCUAGUAGGAGGUCAAGUUGCCCAGGCUGAUUUAUGGCUUCCAGGAUCCACCUUCUCCAUUGAAGAAAAAGUUAAAGAUCAUAUUUGUGACUGUACUCCACAUCCAAAUGUUUCCCUUUGGCCUUCCAACCAGACGCCUGUGUGCAGAGUUUACUUCUGUAGCCCGAGCUGCCUCAAGCUGGACCAGACUGAAGCUCAGACGGUCACUAUCUUGUCUGUGGCUGGCCCAAGCAGGACCACUAGCUGCUCCAGCCUUCUGUUCUCCAUCCCUCCAGUACCUGUGAGGGCUCCGUGAAAUCCCAGGACCAGACAGAGUUACUCACCGGCGGCUGAUGAAGGCUUCCUUUCUGAGGCUGGUAGUCCACCAUUGAUUCUUCCAGUCUGAUGACUAAGGAGGCCAUACCCUGACACCAGGAGCUACACUUUAGGGCUAUCAGUUGAGAGUGUGACUUCAUCACAGUGUGCUCUAGAAGGUAAAGCUUUGCUCCUCUUGAGAGCUGGUGGAGCUUCAUGAUCUACAGACACGUGGGUAGUAAAUUAAAAGUGCAACUGGCACUAUCGGAAACUGAGGACACACCCUGACUGAGGAACCAGAGUGGCUUCAUCAGUGAUGAGCCUGGUUGUGAUCAGGUACCCCUGACAGAAGGAGCAAGAAGGAGAAGGGCUCCUAACGUUUGAUGUUUCCCCCGCAACCUACAGCCCUGAUGAAAGAUGAGAUACCAAAGAAACUCAAGGAACCUCCCGCUCUGUGCCUGGCUGGAGCUCCAUGCAAGCAUUGGAACCAUGGGAAGGGUGGGUUUUCUCAGACUGGAGAAAUCUGAGACAAGUCUCAAAUAAAGUCAA